rnacentral:rRNA from 1 species
AUACGUAGGGGGCUAGCGUUAUCCGGAAUUACUGGGCGUAAAGGGUGCGUAGGUGGUUUCUUAAGUCAGAAGUGAAAGGCUACGGCUCAACCGUAGUAAGCUUUUGAAACUAAGAGACUUGAGUGCAGGAGAGGAGAGUAGAAUUCCUAGUGUAGCGGUGAAAUGCGUAGAUAUUAGGAGGAAUACCAGUUGCGAAGGCGGCUCUCUGGACUGAAACUGACACUGAGGCACUAAAGCGUGGGGAGCAAACAGGUUUAGAUACCCUGGUAGUCCACGCCGUAAACGAUGAGUACUAGCUGUCGGGGGUUACCCCCCUCGGUGGCGCAGCUAACGCAUUAAGUACUCCGCCUGGGAAGUACGCUCGCAAGAGUGAAACUCAAAGGAAUUGACGGGG